GACGAACGCUGGCGGCGUGCUUAACACAUGCAAGUCGAACGGAAAGGCCCUGCUUUUGUGGGGUGCUCGAGUGGCGAACGGGUGAGUAACACGUGAGUAACCUGCCCUUGACUUUGGGAUAACUUCAGGAAACUGGGGCUAAUACCGGAUAGGAGCUACUGCUGCAUGGUGGUGGUUGGAAAGUUUCGGCGGUUGGGGAUGGACUCGCGGCUUAUCAGCUUGUUGGUGGGGUAGUGGCUUACCAAGGCUUUGACGGGUAGCCGGCCUGAGAGGGUGACCGGCCACAUUGGGACUGAGAUACGGCCCAGACUCCUACGGGAGGCAGCAGUGGGGAAUAUUGCACAAUGGGCGGAAGCCUGAUGCAGCAACGCCGCGUGCGGGAUGACGGCCUUCGGGUUGUAAACCGCUUUCGCCUGUGACGAAGCGUGAGUGACGGUAAUGGGUAAAGAAGCACCGGCUAACUACGUG
rnacentral:rRNA from 1 species